rnacentral:rRNA from 1 species
AGCGAACGCUGGCGGCGUGCCUAACACAUGCAAGUCGAACGCGAAAGCCCCUUCGGGGGCAAGUAGAGUGGCGUCCGGGUGAGUAACACGUGGGUAAUCUACCUCCGGGUGGGGAAUAACUCGCCGAAAGGCGGGCUAAUACCGCAUAAUGCAGCGGCACCGAAUGGUGAUUAGUUGUUAAAGCGGGGGACCUUAGGGCCUCGCGUCUGGAGAGGAGCCUGCGGCAGAUUAGCUUGUUGGUAGGGAAUGGCCUACCAAGGCUGCGAUCUGUAGCUGGUCUGAGAGGACGGCCAGCCACACUGGCACUGAGACACGGCCCAGACUCCUACGGGAGGCAGCAGUGGGAAUCUUGCGCAAUGGGCGAAAGUCUGACGCAGCGACGCCGCGUGAGGGAUGACGGCCU